rnacentral:rRNA from 1 species
CCUACGGGAGGCAGCAGUGGGGAAUAUUGCACAAUGGGGGAAACCCUGAUGCAGCGACGCCGCGUGAGUGAAGAAGUAAUUCGUUAUGUAAAGCUCUAUCAGCAGGGAAGAAAAUGACGGUACCUGAGUAAGAAGCCCCGGCUAACUACGUGCCAGCAGCCGCGGUCAUACGUAGGGGGCAAGCGGUAUCCGGAUGUACUGGGUGUAAAGGGAGCGUAGACGGCAGGGCAAGUCUGGAGUGAAAGGCGGGGGCUCAACCCCCGGACUGCUCUGGAAACUGUACGGCUGGAGUGCAGGAGAGGUAAGUGGAAUUCCUAGUGUAGCGGUGAAAUGCGUAGAUAUUAGGAGGAAAACCAGUGGCGAAGGCGGCUUACUGGACUGUAACUGACGUUGAGGCUCGAAAGCGUGGGGAGCAAACAGGAUUAGAUACCCCUGUAGUC